CUGCCGCGGAAGCCGCGCCCCAUCCCCCGUCUGCCCCCCAAGCACCGGCCGAACCUGGCCACGGUGGAGAAGUGCCUGUUCGACGCCCUGGCGGACGGCCUCGGAUUGGACGCGGGUCCGGCGUCUCGGUCGGCAUGCGACUCCCAGACGAGCCUCGCGUUUGCGCCCCAGUUGCGCUACAGCAGCCAAUGGGCGGGGGACGCGUGCCGCAUCCUGGCCGCCCACAUCACGAGGAGCCUCAACGGGUUGGACUUGAAAAGAUAUAAAAGUGCCUGCGUCGUUCGAAUAAUUGAGAAGUGUCAUCAAGGGUUGUGCAGCCACUUCGCCGCGCUUUGGGACGAGAACUGUGACUGUUUUUGCUGCGUUCCUUAUGAGACUGACAGUUUUAUAGCAUAUGCUACAAUUGUUCUGGUUCAUUGGGACUAAUGAGCUCUUUAGUUGUUGAAUGAGGGUAUAUUGUACAUAGUUCAUUGUGUAAGUGACAAGAAUAAAGGACUGAAACAACAUUCGCAUUUAAGGUUUUUUUUGGGAAUUUAUUUCUUUUUUGUUUGAGAAAGUGCUUACAGGGUUACAUUACAACCACAUGGACAUUCAUGCCACAUUGAAAUAAAACUUCUUAAAAAUGAAAUUGUUGAUCCGAGUAAGUAACACCCUGGUAAAAAAAGCCAAUAUUCUGAUGAAAAUUGCACAAUUUGAAAAGACAUUUAAAUGCUUGUUCUCUCCCCUUCAUAAUGAAUUCUUUGUUAAAAUCUAUUUAUAAUAGAAAAAUUAUAUGAGAACUUUCAAUGCUAUGACAACAGCACCAGCUGGCAACCAAUCAAUGAGUGUUACAAUUUCAGAUUGCCUGCCAGCCUGGCCGACAU